rnacentral:rRNA from 1 species
GACGAACGCUGGCGGCGUGCUUAACACAUGCAAGUCGAACGGAAAGGCCCCCACCUUGGUGGGGGUGCUCGAGUGGCGCACGGGUGAGUAACACGUGGGUGAUCUGCCCUGUUCUUCGGGAUCAUCUUGGGAAACUGGGUCUUAUACCGGCUAGGACCUUGCUUUAGUGUCUCAUUGUGGAAAAUUUAUUUUUUUGGUGCAUGAUGAGCUCUGGGCCUAUCCGCUUGUUGGUGGGGUAAUGGCCUACCAAGGCGUCGACGGGUAGCGGGCCUGAGAGGGUGGACAGACAGAUUGGGACAGAGAUACGGCACAGACACGGAGGGGAGGAAGGAGGGGGGAAGGUGGAAAAAGGGGAGGAAGACUGAGGAAGCGAGGCCGCGUGGGGGAAGACGGCCGUCGGGUAGAAAAAUCCUUUCGUUAGGGACGAAGACACACCUUUUUGGGGUGUGGAGACGGUACCUUGGUGAAGAAGCACCGGCUAACUACGUG